GACUCCAGAUUCCACACUCCAGAGUCUCUUCUUCUAGUCGUCUCUAUUUCUUGUGGAGUUGACUCCUUCUUUUUCCCUUUCUUGUCUUCUUUUUGGUUUUUCUGGUCUUGUUUCUUGAAAUCUUCGAGAGGGUUGGGUCGAGUUUCAGAAGAAUGAUCCGUUGCAUGCGCAACCCUUGCGGUUUUAAGCACUUCUUUUCUUUAAGUUGUGCGUGAAGAUUCCACCCUCACUUCUUGGAGUUUAGAGAGAUUGUUGUAGUGCUCAUUUUGGUUGGAUCUUCAAGCAUUCUGGAGGGUCAUUGGGCCUGAAAUGCCGUCUGCUGAGUUACUUGCCGCAGCAGCCAAACUAACAGAAGCAGAAGCUGAAUUACGAGAAGCUGAGCUGGACGGAGACACUGAAUUAUUUAUAGGACCCCCUCCUCCUGCUGUGGUCACGGAAGCUGAAUCUGCCAAUGAAGCAGAACGUUUCGAGGAGGUU